rnacentral:rRNA from 1 species
CGGCGAGUGAAGCGGCAACAGCUCAAAUUUGAAAUCUGGCCCUCGGGUCCGAGUUGUAAUUUGUAGAGGAUGCUUUUGGCGCGGUGCCUUCCGAGUUCCCUGGAACGGGACGCCUUAGAGGGUGAGAGCCCCGUACGGUUGGACACCAAGCCUCUGUAAAGCUCCUUCGACGAGUCGAGUAGUUUGGGAAUGCUGCUCUAAAUGGGAGGUAAAUUUCUUCUAAAGCUAAAUAUUGGCCAGAGACCGAUAGCGCACAAGUAGAGUGAUCGAAAGAUGAAAAGCACUUUGAAAAGAGGGUUAAACAGCACGUGAAAUUGUUGAAAGGGAAGCGUUUGCGACCAGACCUCUCCCCGGCGGAUCAUCCGGCGUUCUCGCCGGUGCACUCCGCCGGGCUGAGGCCAGCAUCGGUUUCCGCGGGGGGACAAAAGCGGGGGGAACGUAGCUCCCUCGGGAGUGUUAUAGCCCUCCGCAUAAUACCCUCGCGGGGACCGAGGACCGCGCUUCGGCAAGGAUGCUGGCGUAAUGGUCGUCAACGACCCGUCUUGAAACACGGACCAAGGAGUCGAACAUUUGUGCGAGUGUUUGGGUGUCAAACCCUCACGCGUAAUGAAGGUGAACGUAGGUGAGAGCCCUCACGGGCGCAUCAUCGACCGAUCCUGAUGUCUUCGGAUGGAUUUGAGUAAGAGCAUAACUGUUCGGACCCGAAAGAUGGUGAACUAUGCGUGGAUAGGGUGAAGCCAGAGGAAACUCUGGUGGAGGCUCGCAGCGGUUCUGACGUGCAAAUCGAUCGUCAAAUCUGCGCAUGGGGGCGAAAG